rnacentral:antisense_RNA from 22 species
AGUAAUGGUGGUUCAGGCGGGGGAGGCUUCGGCCUUGCCGGAAGGUAGCUACCGGUACUGUGAACCCUGUCUGAAUCACCAUCAUC